AUUGAACGCUGGCGGCAGGCCUAACACAUGCAAGUCGAGCGGAUGAAGGGAGCUUGCUCCUGGAUUCAGCGGCGGACGGGUGAGUAAUGCCUAGGAAUCUGCCUGGCAGUGGGGGAUAACGUCUGGAAACGGGCGCUAAUACCGCAUACGUCCUGAGUGAGAAAGUGGGGGAUCUUCGGACCUCACGCUAUCAGAUGAGCCUAGGUCGGAUUAGCUAGUUGGUGGGGUAACGGCCUACCAAGGCGACGAUCCGUAACUGGUCUGAGAGGAUGAUCAGUCACACUGGAACUGAAACACGAUCCAGACUACUACGGGAGGGAGCAGUGGGGAAUUUUGGACAAUGGGCGAAAGCAUGAUCCAGCCAUGCCGCGUGUGUGAAGAAGGUCUUCGGAUCGUAAAGCGCUUUAAGUUGGGAGGAAGGGCAGUAAGUUAAUACGUUGCUGUUUUGACGGUACCAACAGAAUAAGCACCGGCUAACUACGUG
rnacentral:rRNA from 1 species